GGUUAAGUGACUAAGCGUACACGGUGGAUGCCUUGGCAGUCAGAGGCGAUGAAGGACGUAGUAACUUGCGAUAAGCGUAGAUGAGGCAGUAACAGCCACUUGAGUCUACGAUUUCCGAAUGGGGAAACCCACUGGCAUAAGCCAGUAUCAUUGAGUGAAUACAUAGCUCAAUGAAGCGAACCGGGAGAACUGAAACAUCUAAGUACCCCGAGGAAAAGAAAUCAACCGAGAUUCCGAAAGUAGCGGCGAGCGAAAUUGGAUUAGCCCUUAAGCUUUACAUGUGUUAGACGAACGGUCUGGAAAGUCCGACGAUACAGGGUGAUAGUCCCGUAGUUGUAGAUGCAUGUUCAGUGAAAUCGAGUAGGGCGGGACACGUGUUAUCCUGUCUGAAUAUGGGGGGACCAUCCUCCAAGGCUAAAUACUCCUGACUGACCGAUAGUGAACCAGUACCGUGAGGGAAAGGCGAAAAGAACCCCUGUGAGGGGAGUGAAAUAGAACCUGAAACCGUGUACGUACAAGCAGUAGGAGCACCUUCGUGGUGUGACUGCGUACCUUUUGUAUAAUGGGUCAGCGACUUAUAUUCAGUGGCAAGGUUAACCAUCUAGGGGAGCCGUAGGGAAACCGAGUCUUAACUGGGCGCCAUAGUCUCUGGAUAUAGACCCGAAACCGAGUGAUCUAGCCAUGGGCAGGUUGAAGGUUGAGUAACAUCAACUGGAGGACCGAACCGACUAAUGUUGAAAAAUUAGCGGAUGACUUGUGGCUAGGGGUGAAAGGCCAAUCAAACUCGGAGAUAGCUGGUUCUCCCCGAAAGCUAUUUAGGUAGCGCCUCGGACGAAUACUACUGGGGGUAGAGCACUGUUAAGGCUAGGGGGUCAUCCCGACUUACCAACCCUUUGCAAACUCCGAAUACCAGUAAGUACUAUCCGGGAGACACACGGCGGGUGCUAACGUCCGUCGUGGAGAGGGAAACAACCCAGACCGCCAGCUAAGGUCCCAAAUUACAGCUAAGUGGGAAACGAUGUGGGAAGGCUUAGACAGCUAGGAUGUUGGCUUAGAAGCAGCCAUCAUUUAAAGAAAGCGUAAUAGCUCACUAGUCGAGUCGGCCUGCGCGGAAGAUGUAACGGGGCUAAGUUGUAAACCGAAGCUGCGGCAAUGUUCUUUGAACAUUGGGUAGGGGAGCGUUCUGUAAGCCGUUGAAGGUGUGUUGUAAAGCAUGCUGGAGGUAUCAGAAGUGCGAAUGCUGACAUGAGUAACGACAAGGGGGGUGAAAAACCUCCCCGCCGGAAGACCAAGGGUUCCUGUCCAACGUUAAUCGGGGCAGGGUAAGUCGACCCCUAAGGCGAGGCUGAAAAGCGUAGUCGAUGGGAAACGGGUUAAUAUUCCCGUACUUCUUACAAUUGCGAUGGGGGGACGGAGAAGGCUAGGUGGGCCUGGCGACGGUUGUCCAGGUUCAAGUGCGUAGGCUGAGUGUUUAGGUAAAUCCGGACACUCUUAAGGCUGAGACACGACGUCGAGCUACUACGG
rnacentral:rRNA from 1 species